UAUGUACUCCCUCCGUCCCAAAAUUCUUGUCUUACAUUUGUCUAAAUACGGAUGUAUCAAGUCAACGUGACUUGAUACAUCCGUAUCUAGACAAAUGUAAGACAAGAAUUUUGGGACGGAGGGAGUAACAG
rfam:Triticum aestivum genome assembly, contig: Triticum_aestivum_CS42_TGACv1_scaffold_061541_1DL